AACCCUAAGCACCGAAGAAAAAAAAGGCUAGUACGACCGUUAUGCUCUCAAAUCUGGCCUAGACAUUCCCCUUUCACUGCUCUCACUCUCUCCGCUCUCUCUUUCUCGCUUUUCCUCUCACGCUCUCGUCGGCAACGGUCAUUUUUGCGCUCUUUCUUUUCCACUCCGGAAAUUCUCACUGCAAAGCUUAAUAAAAAGAAAAACUCUGGAAUUUUAUUAACUCUAAACUCUGGUUUUUUUUUUCUUUAUUAAUUUUUGGAAGUGAAGUUUUCGGGGAUUAUAAUAGAUGCGGUUAGGGUUGGGAGGAGAGUGAGAUUAAAGAAUCAGUCAGAGUGGAAUUGAAUUGUGAGUGCACGCAAUGGUAGCUGCAGUGUCCGCAACGGUAAAACCCAAACAGCACGGAGGAGGGCCACACCAACAUCCGUCACGGCCUCCGUUAUUGCCUUCCGACCCAUACAAUGCCAUCGUUCCCCGACGUCAAAAAUUCCGAGAAGUCACUUCUCGUUAUUUGUCCACGUCGUCAUCCUCCUCAAAUUCUUCCACGUCAUCGUCAUCUUCUUCCGCGGCUUCCACCAAACGGUGUCCGUCUCCGUUCGUUGCGAGGACUUCUCAUUCGACGGCCGUUAUGACGCCGACGCACGCGACUCCCUCAGCCAUCAAGCGCUCGCAAUCAGUGGAACGGAGGCAGGCGGUGACGCCGCGCCCUAAUAAUUCUUUCGAUUUUAGAACCAGUAACGGGAACAACAACAACGAUGAAUUGUCCGCUGUUCAGAAGUUGCUCUUUACUUCGACGAGAAGCUUGUCCGUUUCGUUUCAGGGAGAGUCGUUUUCCUAUCAGUUUAGCAAAGCCAAACCAGCUCCCUCUCCAAGCGCGGCAAGAAAAGGCACGCCGGAGAGGCGGAAGCCUACGGCGGCAACAACGACUCCGGGGAGAGCAACAGAUCAAAUGGAAAAUUCAAAGGCGGAGCGGUGGCCUGCGAGGUUAAGGCAGCCAUAUUCGAUGAGUAGAAGCAUGGAUUGCACCGACCAGAGGAAGAGAUUAAAAGGAUCUGGGAACGGCAAUGUAGUCAGGGCACUACAAGAUUCCAUGAUUGAUAAUAGAGAUUUAACGGUUGUUUCGGCUGUUGGAUCUGAGGCCCAAUGUGAUCCCGCGGUUUCCGAUACUGAAAGUGUUUCUUCUGGGAGUACUUCCGGAGCUUUAGAAAGUUCUUGUAACGGUAACGGGGAGAUUAAGCGUGGGCCUCGGGGAAUAGUUGUCCCGGCUCGGUUCUGGCAAGAUACUAAUAAUCGGUUACGCCGCUCAGAUCCUGGUUCGCCAGUCUCUAAGAAAAAUACGGCGCAGUCUAAGGUAAUUGCACCAGAGAAGUUUGGAAUUGAUAGUCCUUUAUCAUCUCCGAAAAGUGUAGUGAACAGCAGAGGGCAGUCAUCGCCAAUUCGCGGGCCAGUUCGGCCUGCAUCGCCGAGUAAGCUUGGGGUGUCCUCAACUUCGUCUCCUUUGAGGGGAAUGAGUCCCUCCAGAGUGAGGAAUGGGUUGGGUAGUAAUUUGGUAAAUACGCCGUCAAUUUUGAGCUUUGCUGGAGAUGUUGUUAAGAUGGGCAAGAUUGGGGAGAAUAAGGUUUCAGAUGCUCAUUUUUUGAGGCUACUUCAUAACAGGUUGUUGCAGUGGCGUUUUGUUAAUGCUAGAGCAGAUGCUGCUCUGUCUUCCCAGAGGUCUAAUGCAGAGAAAAGUCUUUAUAAUGCAUGGAUAACUACCUCAAAACUGCGAGAAUCAGUUAGAACUAAAAGAAAUGAGUUACAGUUGCUGAGGCAAAACUUGAAGCUGAUUUCCAUCCUCAAGGGGCAAAUGAUAUUUUUGGAUGAAUGGGCUGUCCUGGACCAUGAUUAUUGUGGUUCUUUGUCUGGAGCGACUGAAGCUUUAAUGGCUAGCACACUCCGCCUUCCAGUUGUAGGUGGGGCAAGGGCGGAUAUCCCAAAGUUGAAUGAUGCUAUUUGUUCGGCGGUUGACAUAAUGCAGGCAAUGGCAUCCUCCAUAUGCUCAUUGUUAUCAAAGGUUGCAAAAGUUAACUCUUUGGUGGCAGAACUUAGAAAUUUAAGUGCAAAUGAGUUUGCUUUGCUUGAUCAGUGCAAAGAACUUCUGUCAGCAACUGCAGCCAUGCAGGUGAAGGAAUGUAGCUUGAGAACACACCUUUUACAACUAAACCGAUAAUCCUUUACCUUCCAGUUUGACAACAGAAUUGUAAAAAGAUGAAUGAUUUCACUGCCCUUCCCUAAUACUAACAUGACGUCAAACCCCACUUCCAUUUCAUCCGAAUUUGUGGUGCAAAAGGUAAUAAGGAAAAUGUUCGAUGAUCAAUUGCAAUUUACAAGAAUGAGAGUGAUCAUUUGGUCCUUUGUUUUGAUACAUGAAAAAUUUUAGCUUUAUGUGUAAUUUGAUGUGUAGGCUGAAGGAAAUGAUUCUCAUAUGUGAAGUUAGACAGUAUACAGGUGAUUCUAUAGGUUGUGGCCGUGUGGGAGAUAUCCAAUAUCUACUGUGAGUGAAGUUGAAAUUGAAGUCAUGUGGGACCCCACCGCAUAUGCUAAUAGACGCGGCGAAGCGAUGGAAUGGAACUAAAACAAGCUCAG